rnacentral:lncRNA from 1 species
UCUGAAGCCUGGAGGGUGGGGACAGGGCAAGGAAUGGUGUGCCCAGCAGGCCAGGGUAAAGACCUGACACUUCCAGGACUCCUUGGCACACUUGUAUCUAGAGCUUUGACCACUGCAGGGCACCUGCCCCUAGCCUGGCAGCCACCUUCAGGUGCCCUUGCAGAGGGGGCCCAAGAAUCUGGGCAUUAAGCAUUAAGUUGGGGAUCAGAGUUAGGAAGCUGGGUUCAGAGACCCCCACAGUGGGCAGCUGCUCUGACCUGCUCUGUUCCCCUCUGAGCUCAGAGUUCUGGGACACAGGCCUCGGUCACCCUCCCCUGAGAGUCUGCAGCAGGAAUGGGUUGGGUGCCUGGAGAUACAGACCCAAGAGGCUGCCCACAGGGCCACAGGGCUGAGCCCAAGGAGCUCACAGGGGGCUGGAGGGAUGGCUGUGGGAUGGCUGGGGUGGCAGAAUCCAGGGGCUGGAAGACAAAUUUAGAAGAUGAACAAACCAGGUGACCCCUGGCUUCUGGGGUGGGUGACUGAAUAGAUGGAUGAAACCAAGACAAGAGAGGGGACCCAGAUAUGUCUACUUGAGGUUGAGGUUCCUCCAAGCAUAGCUGAGACCCAAUAGAGCCAAGCAAAAGUACCCAGGGGGGCUGAGAAGGAGUGCCCAGAGGAGUGGGCAGGUGCCUGGCAGGGUAUGAAAAGAUGGCACAACUGGCCACCAGGGGGAACCUGGUGCCCCACAGAGGGGGGUGCUCAGUGGUAGAAGGACUUGCAUCCCCACAGCCCAUUUCCUGCUUCUGGGUGUUUGGGCCCCAGCAGGCAGGUGUGAGGGGGAGGGGGCUGCCUGGGCCACCCACUCACCAGCUGCUACCCUCAGGGGAGGUUGAGGACCAGCCAGAGGCCUGUGAUGGUGUAUGGCGGGGGAGGGGGCAUUAUAUUUACUGAGCCCACCAAUCACAGCUUGCCCUGCCAUCCCUCCUUAUCACGGUCCUUGGGCUGAUAAGGCCACUGACUCUAGCAUAGGCCUGGGAAAGAGGCACCCUGGUGGGGCCGAACAGGCCAGUUCCCCAGCUGCUGGCUCCCCAGGGAGGGUCUCUGAGCAUUCUGACAGGUAAGGGCCCCAAUGUCCUGAUGGCAUGAGACGGGAGUGGAGAAGGCCUUGCAGGUUGACCAGCAGCUCCACCCAUCCAGAUCCCAUCUUCCUUCUUCCCUUUUUCCUCUUUCUUUCUUUUCUUUCUUUCCAGGGAUUGAACUCAGGGGCAGUUGACUGCUGAGCCAUAUCCCCAGCCCCUUUUUGUAUUUUAUC